UCCCUGAUGGCUCAAAUGGUACAGAAUCUGCCUUCAAUGCAGGAGACCCAGGUUCAAUCCCUGAGUCAGGAA
rnacentral:tRNA from 1 species